UACGUAGGUGGCAAGCGUUGUCCGGAAUUAUUGGGCGUAAAGCGCGCGCAGGCGGUCCUUUAAGUCUGAUGUGAAAGCCCACGGCUCAACCGUGGAGGGUCAUUGGAAACUGGGGGACUUGAGUACAGAAGAGAAGAGUGGAAUUCCACGUGUAGCGGUGAAAUGCGUAGAUAUCGGGAGGAACACCAGUGGCGAAGGCGACUACCUGGCCUGUUCUUGACGCUGAGGCGCGAAAGCUAGGGGAGCAAACGGG
rnacentral:rRNA from 1 species